UUUUGGGCUUAACUAGCUGUGGAGCACUUGAAAACUCCACAGUUAAGAGUGUUCAGCUGAGAAUAGUACUAGGAUGGGUGACCUCCUGUGAAGUCUCCACCAGGGCAACCA
rfam:Helianthus annuus linkage group 16, whole genome shotgun sequence.